rnacentral:rRNA from 1 species
GGGUUGUGAGGUUAAGCGACUAAGCGUACACGGUGGAUGCCCUGGCAGUCAGAGGCGAUGAAGGACGUGCUAAUCUGCGAUAAGCGUCGGUGAGGUGAUAUGAACCGUUAUAACCGGCGAUUUCCGAAUGGGGAAACCCAGUGUGUUUCGACACACUAUCAUUAACUGAAUCCAUAGGUUAAUGAGGCGAACCGGGGGAACUGAAACAUCUAAGUACCCCGAGGAAAAGAAAUCAACCGAGAUUCCCCCAGUAGCGGCGAGCGAACGGGGAGGAGCCCAGAGCCUGAAUCAGUGUGUGUGUUAGUGGAAGCGUCUGGAAAGGCGUGCGAUACAGGGUGACAGCCCCGUACACAAAAAUGCACAUAUUGUGAGCUCGAUGAGUAGGGCGGGACACGUGGUAUCCUGUCUGAAUAUGGGGGGACCAUCCUCCAAGGCUAAAUACUCCUGACUGACCGAUAGUGAACCAGUACCGUGAGGGAAAGGCGAAAAGAACCCCGGCGAGGGGAGUGAAAAAGAACCUGAAACCGUGUACGUACAAGCAGUGGGAGCCUCUUAAUGGGGUGACUGCGUACCUUUUGUAUAAUGGGUCAGCGACUUAUAUUCUGUAGCAAGGUUAACCGAAUAGGGGAGCCGAAGGGAAACCGAGUCUUAACUGGGCGUUAAGUUGCAGGGUAUAGACCCGAAACCCGGUGAUCUAGCCAUGGGCAGGUUGAAGGUUGGGUAACACUAACUGGAGGACCGAACCGACUAAUGUUGAAAAAUUAGCGGAUGACUUGUGGCUGGGGGUGAAAGGCCAAUCAAACCGGGAGAUAGCUGGUUCUCCCCGAAAGCUAUUUAGGUAGCGCCUCGUGAAUUCAUCUCCGGGGGUAGAGCACUGUUUCGGCAAGGGGGUCAUCCCGACUUACCAACCCGAUGCAAACUGCGAAUACCGGAGAAUGUUAUCACGGGAGACACACGGCGGGUGCUAACGUCCGUCGUGAAGAGGGAAACAACCCAGACCGCCAGCUAAGGUCCCAAAGUCAUGGUUAAGUGGGAAACGAUGUGGGAAGGCCCAGACAGCCAGGAUGUUGGCUUAGAAGCAGCCAUCAUUUAAAGAAAGCGUAAUAGCUCACUGGUCGAGUCGGCCUGCGCGGAAGAUGUAACGGGGCUAAACCAUGCACCGAAGCUGCGGCAGCGACACUAUGUGUUGUUGGGUAGGGGAGCGUUCUGUAAGCCUGUGAAGGUGGCCUGUGAGGGUUGCUGGAGGUAUCAGAAGUGCGAAUGCUGACAUAAGUAACGAUAAAGCGGGUGAAAAGCCCGCUCGCCGGAAGACCAAGGGUUCCUGUCCAACGUUAAUCGGGGCAGGGUGAGUCGACCCCUAAGGCGAGGCCGAAAGGCGUAGUCGAUGGGAAACAGGUUAAUAUUCCUGUACUUGGUGUUACUGCGAAGGGGGGACGGAGAAGGCUAUGUUGGCCGGGCGACGGUUGUCCCGGUUUAAGCGUGUAGGCUGGUUUUCCAGGCAAAUCCGGAAAACCAAGGCUGAGGCGUGAUGACGAGGCACUACGGUGCUGAAGCGACAAAUGCCCUGCUUCCAGGAAAAGCCUCUAAGCAUCAGGUAACAUCAAAUCGUACCCCAAACCGACACAGGUGGUCAGGUAGAGAAUACCAAGGCGCUUGAGAGAACUCGGGUGAAGGAACUAGGCAAAAUGGUGCCGUAACUUCGGGAGAAGGCACGCUGAUAUGUAGGUGAAGCGACUUGCUCGUGGAGCUGAAAUCAGUCGAAGAUACCAGCUGGCUGCAACUGUUUAUUAAAAACACAGCACUGUGCAAACACGAAAGUGGACGUAUACGGUGUGACGCCUGCCCGGUGCCGGAAGGUUAAUUGAUGGGGUUAGCGGUAACGCGAAGCUCUUGAUCGAAGCCCCGGUAAACGGCGGCCGUAACUAUAACGGUCCUAAGGUAGCGAAAUUCCUUGUCGGGUAAGUUCCGACCUGCACGAAUGGCGUAAUGAUGGCCAGGCUGUCUCCACCCGAGACUCAGUGAAAUUGAACUCGCUGUGAAGAUGCAGUGUACCCGCGGCAAGACGGAAAGACCCCGUGAACCUUUACUAUAGCUUGACACUGAACAUUGAGCCUUGAUGUGUAGGAUAGGUGGGAGGCUUUGAAGUGUGGACGCCAGUCUGCAUGGAGCCGACCUUGAAAUACCACCCUUUAAUGUUUGAUGUUCUAACGUUGGCCCGUAAUCCGGGUUG